UGCAAAUUCAUCUUCAAUACGACUAUGUUGCCAAGUAGCGGCUUUUAUAAUCAGUGCAGCCCCAUACUUGGAGCUACUUGAGCUACAUCUUUCACCAACAAGAGCUUCUCUCAAGGAAAUGGAAGCACUAGAAUUGCCGUCUAUGUCUCCACAUAAGAACCUUAAAGAGGUCAAGUUGUCUGGCUUUAGAGCCGAUGUAUAUACCAUAGACUUUCUUGCCUAUCUUGUUGAAUGCACCGAUUCUCUCCAGAAGAUUAAUCUCAGUGCAUAUGCUACUGAUAGGUCUGGAGAUGAGUUGUUUGUGCAAAACCGUUUAAAAUGGAGGGCAGAUGAGGCUGAAAAUUGCAAGAUAUGUGUGCAGGAACUCAGGAAAAUAUUGUAUACAAAUGUCCAGCUGAUAUUUCAUGAUUAGUAGUGGCUGAAUUGUCCACUUAUUUUUUUUAUUAUUUAACUAAAAUAUAAAAAUACUGUAAAUUUAGCAUUUAUUUGUGUUUUCUGCUUAUAGAAUUAUGUAAUCAGCCAGUGCCAAAAUUGUUUCAAUAAUUACCCUUUUAUAUUA